AGUGAACGCUGGCGGUAGGCCUAACACAUGCAAGUCGAACGGCAGCACAGUAAGAGCUUGCUCUUACGGGUGGCGAGUGGCGGACGGGUGAGGAAUACAUCGGAAUCUACUUUUUCGUGGGGGUUAACGUAGGGAAACUUACGCUAAUACCGCAUACGACCUACGGGUGAAAGCAGGGGAUCUUCGGACCUUGCGCGUUUGAUUGAGCCGAUGUCGGAUUAGCUAGUUGGCGGGGUAAAGGCCCACCAAGGCGACGAUCCGUAGCUGGUCUGAGAGGAUGAUCAGCCACACUGGAACUGAGACACGGUCCAGACUCCUACGGGAGGCAGCAGUGGGGAAUAUUGGACAAUGGGCGAAAGCCUGAUCCAGCCAUACCGCGUGGGUGAAGAAGGCCUUCGGGUUGUAAAGCCCUUUUGUUGGGAAAGAAAAGCAGCAGGUUAAUACCCCGCUGUUCUGACGGUACCCAAAGAAUAAGCACCGGCUAACUUCGUG
rnacentral:rRNA from 1 species